rnacentral:rRNA from 1 species
GACGAACGCUGGCGGCGUGCUUAACACAUGCAAGUCGAACGGAAAGGCCCUGCUUUUGUGGGGUGCUCGAGUGGCGAACGGGUGAGCAACACGUGAGUAACCUGCCCUUGACUUUGGGAUAACUUCAGGAAACUGGGGCUAAUACAGGAUAGGAGCUCCUGCUGCAUGGUGGGGGUUGGAAAGUUUCGGCGGUUGGGGAUGGACUCGCGGCUUAUCAGCUUGUUGGUGGGGUAGUGGCUUACCAAGGCUUUGACGGGUAGCCGGCCUGAGAGGGUGACCGGCCACAUUGGGACUGAGAUACGGCCCAGACUCCUACGGGAGGCAGCAGUGGGGAAUAUUGCACAAUGGGCGGAAGCCUGAUGCAGCAACGCCGCGUGCGGGAUGACGGCCUUCGGGUUGUAAACCGCUUUCGCCUGUGACGAAGCGUGAGUGACGGUAAUGGGUAAAGAAGCACCGGCUAACUACGUGCCAGCAGCCGCGGUGAUACGUAGGGUGCGAGCGUUGUCCGGAUUUAUUGGGCGUAAAGGGCUCGUAGGUGGUUGAUCGCGUCGGAAGUGUAAUCUUGGGGCUUAACCCUGAGCGUGCUUUCGAUACGGGUUGACUUGAGGAAGGUAGGGGAGAAUGGAAUUCCUGGUGGAGCGGUGGAAUGCGCAGAUAUCAGGAGGAACACCAGUGGCGAAGGCGGUUCUCUGGGCCUUUCCUGACGCUGAGGGGCGAAAGCGUGGGGAGCGAACAGGCUUAGAUACCCUGGUAGUCCACGCUGUAAACGGUGGGUACUAGGUGUGGGGUCCAUUCCACGGGCUCCGUGCCGUAGCUAACGCUUUAAGUACCCCGCCUGGGGAGUACGGCCGCAAGGCUAAAACUCAAAGGAAUUGACGGGGCCCCGCACAAGCGGCGGAGCAUGCGGAUUAAUUCGAUGCAACGCGUAGAACCUUACCUGGGUUUGACAUGGAUCGGGAGUGCUCAGAGAUGGGUGUGCCUCUUUUGGGGUCGGUUCACAGGUGGUGCAUGGCUGUCGUCAGCUCGUGUCGUGAGAUGUUGGGUUAAGUCCCGCAACGAGCGCAACCCUUGUUCACUGUUGCCAGCACGUUAUGGUGGGGACUCAGUGGAGACCCCCGGGGUCAACUCGGAGGAAGGUGGGGAUGACGUCAAGUCAUCAUGCCCCUUAUGUCCAGGGCUUCACGCAUGCUACAAUGGCUGGUACAGAGAGUGGCGAGCCUGUGAGGGUGAGCGAAUCUCGGAAAGCCGGUCUCAGUUCGGAUUGGGGUCUGCAACUCGACCUCGUGAAGUCGGAGUCGCUAGUAAUCGCAGAUCAGCAACGCUGCGGUGAAUACGUUCCCGGG